CCUACGGGUGGCAGCAGUGGGGAAUAUUGCACAAUGGGGGAAACCCUGAUGCAGCGACGCCGCGUGGGUGAAGAAGCGUCUCGGCACGUAAAGCUCUAUCAGCAGGGAAGAAAAUGACGGUACCUGAUGAAGAAGCCCCGGCUAACUCGGUGCCAGCAGCCGCGGUAAUACGUAGGUCUCAAGCGUUAUUCGGAUUCACUGGGCGUAAAGGGAGCGUAGGCUGCAUCGCAAGUCGGGUGUGAAAGGCCGGGGCUCAACCCGGGAACGGCAUAUGAUACUGUGAGGCUAGAGUGAAGGAGGGGGAAGUGGAAUUCUCGGUGUAGCAGUGAAAUGCGUAGAUAUCGGGAGGAACACUAGUGGCGAAGGCGGGUUCCUGGACAUUAACUGACGCUGAGGCACGAAGGCGAGGGGAGCGAAAGGGAUUAGAUACCCUUGUAGUC
rnacentral:rRNA from 1 species